GCAUUAAUGGGGUAGUGGUAACCUCAGUCGUUGCCACUUAGAUGGGUCUCACAUUCGACUGGCCGCGAGUUCGAUUCUCGCUUAAUGCA
rfam:Neolentinus lepideus HHB14362 ss-1 unplaced genomic scaffold NEOLEscaffold_21, whole genome shotgun sequence.